GGGCAAAAUUUGGGAAACGGACCUUCUUUAGAGCGCGGGAGAUUUGAAAUGAAGUAAUAAAAAGGACGACGGCGACCAUUUUGUCCCUUCACAGAGAGAGAGAGAGAGAGAGACCGAGACCGAGGGAGAUCCUUUUCGCCCAAGAGACACGGGGAAAAUGAUUUCAUCGUCCGGCAACCUGCGGGAGAAGCUCGGCCAGGUGUUUUUGCUGCCCGACGGUGAGGAGACCGCGUUUCCUGCCGAAGAAGAUGACAAGGAUUUCAUCCUCAGCCAGGAUUUCUUCUGCACGCCAGAUUAUAUCACCCCAGACGAACGACAAAUCUGCCAUAUCUCAGGCUUUGAUAAGGAAAAUCUUCCUUGCCCAAAAUCUCCUGUAAAAUCAUGUGCAGACAGAAACAAGAGAUACAGAACUGGUAUGUUUGCUUGCAGUCCUCCAAAUUUUGGGAACUGGACAAACAACUUUGAUUCCAAGAAGCAAUGCCCUCCAAGGGCAGCAGAACUUCCUGCAGAAACUUCAACCGCACAGGACUGGAAGUCAAUCAAGUCGUCAAUACCUGGAACAGAGAAGAAGCAAAGCUAUGUUUCCCGAUCAGCAGUGGCUCUGCGGUGCCGUGUCACUCCUCCUAUUUGCGUCAAGAACCCGUAUUUAAGUGGGAAUACGGUGAUGAAUCUGGAUAUUGUUUGCAAGCAGAAAUCUAAACCUGAAGCUUUGUUCCCCUCGGGUGUUGGUGGUGAUGGCCUUUCACGGUAUCAUACUGAUUUCCAUGAACUCGAGGAGAUUGGCUGUGGUAAUUUUAGCCGGGUAUUCAAGGUAUUGAAGAGAACUGAUGGUUGUAUGUAUGCAGUGAAACACACCAUUAAGCAGCUACAUCAAGAGACUGAAAGAAGGCGUGCAUUGAUGGAGGUUCAAGCUCUGGCAGCUGUAGGGUUUCAACGCAACAUAGUUGGUUAUUAUACUUCAUGGUUUGAGAACGAGCAACUCUAUAUCCAGAUGGAGCUUUGUGACCACAGCCUAUCAUUAAGUAGAUCAGGUCCUUUGCUGCCAUCAGAGGGCGAAGUUCUGGAAGCAAUGCAUCAGGUUGCUGAAGCUUUGCACUUAUUACAUGAACGUGGAAUUGUACACUUGGAUGUAAAACCUGAUAACAUAUAUGUCAAAGACGGUGUCUAUAAGCUAGGGGAUUUUGGAUGUGCAACACUGAAAGAUGGAAGCAUUCAAAUUGAGGAAGGUGAUGCACGUUACAUGCCAUUAGAGAUACUAAAUGAUAAACAUGAGCAUUUGGACAGGGUUGAUAUCUUUUCACUGGGGGCCUCAAUAUACGAGCUUGUUAAAGGGUCUCCAUUACCAGCAUCUGGUUCACAUUUUUUAGCGCUGAGGGAGGGCAAGCUAUCUUUGCUUCCUGGUUACUCCUUGCAAUUUCAAAAUUUGCUUAAGAUUAUGAUGGACCCUGAUCCCAGAAAGAGACCUUCUGCUAAAGAGCUGCUCAAGAAUCCAAUUUUUAAAGAAGUGCCAUCAGUGAGCAGCUCAUUGGAUGCUUGUAUUGAACAGAAGUCACAUUGAAUCCCACUUCAUUGAGUGGGAAAGCUAAAGUUGUUUUAUAAACAAGAAUUCACUGAAAUAGUAGUGUCAGAUGCAAAAGCAAUUGAGGAAACAUUUGGAAUCCACUUUUAUUUAGGAAGAGAGGAGCAAAGCAGAUAAAAGGACGAUGGACGAAGUAAAGAACACCUGUGAAGACUAGUUUUGGGUUUUAGG